UACGUAGGGGGCAAGCGUUGUCCGGAUUUAUUGGGCGUAAAGCGCGUGUAGGCGGCUUAGCAAGUCGGGCGUGAAAGCCCUCGGCUCAACCGAGGAAGUGCACCCGAAACUGCUGAGCUUGAGUGCCGGAGAGGAUGGCGGAAUUCCCCAAGUAGAGGUGAAAUUCGUAGAUAUGGGGAGGAACACCGGUGGCGAAGGCGGCCAUCUGGACGGUAACUGACGCUGAGACGCGAAAGCGUGGGGAGCAAACAGG
rnacentral:rRNA from 1 species